rnacentral:lncRNA from 1 species
GCUUAAUACUCCUGAGCCAUAUGUCAUCUGUGCUGACACAGUUCUCUUGCAUUAGCAAUUCUCAUAACUUGCUCUGUCGACACCUUCACAGGGAAACCAAUCCAAUCGACAGUAGAAGUGAUGACACAGAGAUGACCAGGCAUCCUUUAGUCACUGAGCCAGAUUAUGCAUCCACUUAUCUGACCGACCUUUACUGA